rnacentral:sRNA from 2 species
AGCCUGACACCGACCCACCCAGGACGGGGGCGGGGGACCCACUUCCGACGCGCCUGCGCGUCUCGGGGUGAAGCCGUGCCGUGCCCUCAGGGCGCUGACCGGCCGGGCACCGAUUCGCCCGAACCCGACAGCUCACCUCGUAGGCGGUGAUCGGGAGGAUCA